rnacentral:rRNA from 1 species
UACGGGGGGAGCAAGCGUUGUUCGGAUUUACUGGGCGUAAAGGGCGCGUAGGCGGUCAGCACAAGUCAGUUGUGAAAUCUCCGGGCUUAACCCGGAAAGGUCAACUGAUACUGUGCGACUAGAGUGCGGAAGGGGCAACUGGAAUUCUCGGUGUAGCGGUGAAAUGCGUAGAUAUCGAGAGGAACACCUGCGGCGAAGGCGGGUUGCUGGGCUGACACUGACGCUGAGGCGCGAAAGCCAGGGGAGCGAACGGG